rnacentral:lncRNA from 1 species
CCACAGGGAAAGCACCAUGAGAAGAUGACGGCAGAGAUCUGGGCGACGCGUCUACAAGCCAAGCGACACCAAAGGUGGCCAGCAGCCCAUGUGAAGCUGGAGGAGAGGCCUCGAAUAAAUGCUCCCUUACAGCGUUCAGGGGGAACUGACCCUGUCCACACCUUGACCUUGAACUUCUGGGCUCCAGAACUGUGAGACAGCAUGUUCUGUUGUUGAAGGAGCAGCGUGGCUAGAGGAAUUCCUGCAGCUUAGAUUUCGCUGGCACUGUUACCACUCCCAGAGAGGAGCGGCUGGAGUUCACGGCUGGUUCCUGACAAACUUCCUAAUUAAUCUGCUAAAGAUCAGAGGAGGACUAAUAGGAGCUGAAGACUGUGUGCGAGACCACCCCUCCGCCCUCUCCCUUUGUGUGUGCACGUGUGUGUGUGUGUGUGUGUGAGCGCGUGCGCGCAUGUGGUGCUGAGCUUGGCGGGAGAGAGAUGGCCUCACCAGCGACAAAGCAUUCCUGCUGCUGUUGCUGCCACCUACCUUCCCUGCUUUGGGAGGAUACAUUUUCUCCUCUUGCUUAGAAGUUUCAGGGAGUCACCCAAGCCUUCUUCUCCCAGAUACAACGGUGGAAUAAAAUAUCUUCCAGCCAACAUAUUUUUUGGAGACGGAAUCUCACUCUGUCACCUGGUUGAAGUGCAGCAGCGCGAUCAUGGCUCACUGCAACCUCUGCCUCCCGGUUUCAAGUGAUUCUCCUGCCUCCGCCUCCCGAGUAGCUGGGAUUACAGGCAUGUGCCACCCACCACGCCUGGGUAAUUUUUGUAUUUUUACUAGAGACAGGGUUUCACUAUGUGGGCUGGGCUGGUCUCAAACUCCUGACCUCUGGUGAUCUGCCCACUUCGGCCUCUCAAAGUGCUGGGAUUACAGGCAUGAGCCCCCGCACCCGGUUGCAACCAACUUUUUUGUGGAAUAUAGGAUCUUGAUGUUUGGAUGCCUGAAGGCAGAAGCUGUUGCACAUGGAAUGGAUUAAAGUUUUCCCCUCUGCAACCAAAAAUCCUUGGGGUCCCAGGAGCAAAAGAUGCUCCAUGGCACAGGACAAUUCAAGAAGGCCCGAGGUGAUAUUGAAGACUGCAGAGACAUCCAGCUCAGUUGUGUCUCCGGAGGUGUCCAGACUUUGCAGACAGACGUUGCACAUAAAGAGCUGAAAAACUGAGGAAGCUGAGCUGGAGAAGGAAGUCACUUCUACUCAGACUUGACCUGCGUCUGAUGCUAUGGGGCCUCUUAGGGUUACCUCAUGCUUCAUGCACCCCUUUCUCUGUUCUUCAGCAGAAGGCAGGGUGUAGGGAAGCGGGACUGUGCCUCCUUUCUCCCUGCCAGGCCUGACUCUCCAGGCCAAGAGACACCAUUAAGGAGUAUAAUUUGUUGAUCCAGGCUCUCCUUGCGUUUCAGUGCAGAGUGGCAUCGUUUUCUUUAUGACCUCGUAAAGUCACAGCCGAGAGGCCGAUUUGGAAAACAAACUGCCUCAGGUUGACAGAUAAUUAGAUACAGGGGACAUAUUAUAUGCCUUUGCAUAUAAAUGUGCUCCGAGGCGUGUUGGUUCAUCUGAAGUUGAGGUUAAAGGCGCGCCAGGUAUUCCUGACACAUCAGGAUAUAUAUUUUCAUACAGUCUCAGGUGCUGUGUUGGUUUUAUAGGCCUUUCAUCCUGGUGCUGACGGAUGGGGUGUGAUUGUGACCCAACUUAGAAGAAAGGGACUUCCCUUGCCCAGGGGCCUCCUGGCGUUUUUGUUUUGUGUUCUCCCUCUCCACCCCCACUUUCUCUUCUUCCUUGGGAAGGGAACUGUUCUUUGGACCUAGGAUUCUGCCGUGAGUGACUAAUGGCCUGAGUAGGAGGGACCGGGACUCAUUUUUCUUUUCUGGACUCUAAUAGGCCCAAUUAAUUCAGCUACAACAUGGGCCCUUACAAGCCUGGGACAAGCCUGGGUGGAAUUCUAUAUUGAGGAGUUAAUCCUAAUAAAAAAUGAUUACAGAAGAGGACGCCUCCACCCACAGGAAGGAGCCAGCACGGUGGGGAGCUGUUUCACCAGGGGAGUGUUCUCAGCAGCUGCCACACGUGGAGUUGUGGAGGUAGCAAGCAGAGUUGGGGGAGGAGGGGGAGCCCUGGUUCCUGCUCUUCCAUGAUCAGUGUGCAGCCUUGAGCAUGGCACUCCCUCUCUUCCCAGCUUAGUGUCCUCAUCCGUAAAAUGAGGGGCUCUCUGAGAGUCUGCCAGGGCCGCUGUCUGAUCUGUGACAGCGUGGCAUGUGGUGUGGUAUGUAAUGCACGUUCCUGCCUGCAGGGAGGCCCUCUCCCUUCCCCCACCAGGCUUCUGGGCAGCACUUGCUGUCAUCCUUGCUUCUGGAACAGGACUGUGCUGUUUUCCAGGCCAAAUUGGAGGGCUGAGGGGGUCUAUUAAGAAGACUCUGGGGAGAUGGUGGAACAAUUCUGUGCUUGAAAUUACCUUCCUCUUUAAAUCUUGCCAUGGCCCUAUUAGAAAAGCUAAGGGGGCAGGAGGAGAGGAGCGGGCAGGGAGAGGAGAGAGAGAGAGAAGAAGGAAGAAGGAAAGGGAAAGGUAAGAAACCCCAUAGCCCGACCCUCAGCCCUGUUGAAGGAGAUUAUAUAAAUAGAGUCGCUGUCACUUUGAUGAAUUAAAUCCUCCGUUAAUUAGGACGCAUCCAUUUAAGGGUUGUCCAGCCAGAUAGUCCUUUUCCCUUCCCAGCAAGUCAUAGCUCAGGGAGGAGGCAUGAGAGGGAUCGUUUUCUGUUUCUGGCUUGAUUGCUGGUUUCUUUCUUACUAGGCUUCAUUAAUUAUCCUGGAAUGUGGUCACCCAGUUUUCUUCAACAUGGGCCAUUCUCCUUUUAGCAGGAUCUUGGCAGUGGACUGCCACGGGAGCUCUGGGGAAAAAGGACCAGUUGGACUCCAGUACCUCCUGAGAGACCACCACCCUCCAUGCCUCCAGCUCAUGCCCAGCUCUGAGUCAGACGGACUCUUCCUGUUGUACUGCGAGGUUCUGCAAACCUUGAAGGGCAAACACAGUGAGGGUCUCUGACUUGCUGUGUGGACAGCCCACUCUCUGACAGCCCAGAUCAUCUGAAGCUAUCCCUGGGCUGGGAGCUGGAAGCCAUUCUUGUGAACCACUCCUUAUACCUUGAGCGAAGCCUCUUUGGGUCCCAGAAGUCUGAAGCUCCAGCUGCCUGGCAAGACUGAGUCUAGAUGAUUUCUUGGGUACCAGUAGUUUGGCAUUUAAAAAUACUGGAUUAACUGCAGUGUAAACUUAGAUUGCAUUUCAGAUUGUAAACAAUAACCCCCGUGCUUCAUGUGAUGUUAAAUCAGAAAUGAGCUAUUAGCCAAGCUAGUCCUCUUAUGAAUGAGCCCCUAACCCUGAUCCAGGGAUCGUUGAAUGAAAAUCAUCAAAAUGAUUUAUCUUCACUUUACCUAUUGUCUCACAAGAAUCUCAUCACUCAGGGAAAAGGAGGGUGUUCUUCAGGGAACGGAGGGCAUGAGGAAGGGGGAUUUCCUUAUAUCUCAACUUUCAGAGGGAGCUGAGUUGUAAACAGAUGGAACAAGGUGUGUACGAGAAGCCUCUUAGAUUUAGUCUUUCAUAUCAAGGCUCUUGCUGAAAAUCCUGGCACAGCUGUGAAAUGAGGGGAGCUCUGACACACAGAGACACGCUCCUUGCCUCACCAACCUUCCCAUACACAGUCAUGCGCACAGAGAGCAGGUACCAAUACUGAAAAUGCCCUUCCGGAGUUUCCUCAGCUUAAACCCUUGACAGCAUUAAGUGAGGAAGGAGUUUCCUUGACCUGGGGAAGAAGAACCAACUCAUAAACAUGGAACUGUGCCCACUGCCUUUUCCUUUGCUCUGUGGAUUGGCUGUGGUUCUGCCCUGGCACUCGGAUGUCAAGUUGCUCUGGCUGUUUGGGAGGAAGCCCAGCCUGGGUCAGGUGGUCAUAAGCCAGAGGCCCUGUCCUGUCCCCAGGGUUGGCCUCCCUCUGGGGUCCAGCAUGGCCCCAGUGCUGAGGCUCCCACUGCUGGGGAAUGUGCCCUCUCCUCUCUUUGUUUCCAUACCAAGGGGAUCUGCAGGGUAGAGGGCAAAUUAUUCUUAGCAGAUUGGGGCUAUGGGUAAACCAGAAGGGAUGAGGGAGAGAGGAGAGAGGAGAGGAAAGGGAAGGAGAGGGGAGGGCAGGGGAUAGGUAGAGGAGAGAGACAGCAAGAAAAAAUAG